UACGAAGGGGGCGAGCGUUGUUCGGAAUUACUGGGCGUAAAGGGCGCGCAGGCGGCCCAUUUUGUCGAGUGUGAAAGCCCCGGGCUCAACCUGGGAACGGCGCUCGAAACGGGUGGGCUAGAGAUCGGGAGAGGAGCGUGGAAUUCCCAGUGUAGAGGUGAAAUUCGUAGAUAUUGGGAAGAACACCGGUGGCGAAGGCGGCGCUCUGGACCGAGACUGACGCUGAGGCGCGAAAGCGUGGGGAGCAAACAGG
rnacentral:rRNA from 1 species